GACGUAGGGGGCAAGCGUUGUCCGGAUUCAUUGGGCGUAAAGCGCGCGCAGGCGGCUCGGUAAGUCGGUUGUGAAAACACGAGGCUCAACCUCGUGCCUGCAUCCGAUACUGUCGAGCUCGAGGCAGGUAGGGGAGAUCGGAAUUCCUGGUGUAGCGGUGAAAUGCGCAGAUAUCAGGAGGAGCACCGGUGGCGAAGGCGGAUCUCUGGGCCUGUCCUGACGCUCA
rnacentral:rRNA from 1 species